ACACAGCCACCGGAGGCGUCCUGAGCAGCAGCCCACUCCCUGUCCCCUGCAGGCGUCCGACCCGAAGUCCACGCGCCGGAACUCGGACCAGGAGCCAGAGGACCCCAGCGCAGAAUCCGCGGAGACGCACGGCUUCGUCGACCACGCUCCCAGGUGGCGUUCCAGCCCAGAUCCGGCCACGAAGACACCGGCGACCUCGGCCUGGGUUUCCUGUUCGAUGAGCUCCAGAAAGAAGACGAUGCGAAGGAUAUAGAGACUUCAGUGACUGAAGCUGGAGGAGACGAUGAGAAGAAAAUACGGACCAAACCCGAGCAGGGAGCAGGAGCAGGAAAAGAAAGUCACGUGUACGCGGGAGCUGCGGACCCCAUGAUCCACGAGAACCAGAAGGGCGGUGGUGGCCACCAGGAGCCCUGGCAGCAGCAGCCUGAGGAGUUGGCCCAGGACUCCUCCGCUGAGGAUCCGCAACCCCAAGAUCAGGAGCGUCUAUUCAGCCCCAGCACGUUCGGCGGGUUGCACCUGAAGGAGCUAGACAGCAUUUUCUGACCUUCUCAAUAUCCGGACAUGUUCGCUUGAAAGCAACUGGCAAUAUGCAUGGAUGUGAGUGAAGCUGAAGUGGAAGCCAGUAAGCCUGAUGAAAGCAAUUGGUCAGAGUAGCCACUCUGAAACCUGCCUCAGACCUUGGAUACUUUGUCCUACACAUUCUCCAAUUGGCCUGGUAACUUCACCGGAUGAAGAAAUCUAGGUUGUUGGUGUUUUUCUUUGAACACCUCUUCUUGCUCUUCGAUAGUUAAAUCUAUUUCACUACUGACAUAGGUACCACCAGAUAUCUGUAGUAUAAACUCAUUAUUUCACAAAAAAAUAAGAAUUUGAGUCUGUGAAGACUGUGCUUUCAAACAUCACUGCACUCCAGUGUAGGCAACACAGCGAGGUGCUGUCUCAAAAAAAGAAAGAAAAAGAAGGAAAGGAAGGAAGAAAGGGAAGAAAGGAAAGAAAGAAAGAAAGGACAGAAAAGAAGGAAGAAGGAAAGAAAAAGGAAGGAAAAUAAAAAGAAGAGAAAGAAGGAAGGAAAAAAGAAGAAAAAGAAAGAAAAGAAAGAAGGUAUUUAUGAGAAUAUUUUCUCACCUCCUUAUCUUUGACGUAGGACAGGCAAGCUGCCAAAUUGGGAUUUUGCCCGGAUGGAGGAUGAGCAGGUAGUGAGAUAGAGCAACUUUUAUUGAACUGGUAUUGCUUCUUGCAGAACAGCACUAACCCAUAGGCAGUGCACCCAGAGCCAGCAGCUGAUGGGCUGUUGGCAGCUGUAUUUAUACCACUUUUAAUUAUGUGCUAAUCAACAGGCAGGUUAUUGAGAACUUUCAAGAAAACGAGUGAGGAGUAUCCAGAAAAUUCAAGAUACGACUAUAGUGUUGAGAAGAAUAUUGUUUCAACUUCCUGGAUUGAUCAACUUUUCUUCAGCAGAGAAUUUAGUGUUGAAAAGAACGUGACUGGCAACUUCCUGCCUUCAACUAGCUAUUCUGGCUAUUUCUGGUUAUUUCUAGGUGGGUCAACUCUUCAAGGAGAACUGUAAACCACUGCUCAACAAAAUAAAAGAGGACACAAACAAAUGGAAGAACAUUCCAUGCUCAUGGAUAGGAAGAAUCAAUAUUGUGAAAAUGGCCAUACUGCCCAAGGUAAUUUAUAGAUUCAAUGCCAUCCCCAUCAAGCUACCAAUGACUUUCUUCACAGAAUUGGAAAAAACUACUUUAAAGUUCAUAUGGAACCAAAAAAGAGCCCGCAUUGCCAAGACAAUCCUAAGCCAAAAGAACAAAGCUGGAGGCAUCACGUUACCUGACUUCAAGCUAUACCACAAGGCUACAGUAACCAAAACAGCAUGGUACUGGUACCAAAACAGAGAUAUAGACCAAUGGAACAGAACAGAGCCAUCAGAAAUAAUACCACACAUCUACAACCAUCUGAUCUUUGACAAACCUGACAAAAAAAGAAACGGGGAAAGGAUUCCCUAUUUAAUAAAUGGUGCUGGGAAAACUGGCUAGCCAUAUGUAGAAAGCUGAAACUGGAUCCCUUCCUUACACCUUAUAGAAAAAUUCAUUCAAGAUGGAUUAAAGACUUAAAUGUUAGACCUAAAACCAUAAAAACCCUAGAAGAAAACCUAGGCAAUACCAUUCAGGACAUAGGCAUGGGCAAGGACUUCAUGACUAAAACACCAAAAGCAAUGGCAACCAAAGCCAAAAUUGACAAAUAAGAUCUAAUUAAACUAAAGAGCUUCUGCACAGCAAAAGAAACUACCAUCAGAGUGAACAGGCAACCUACAGAAUGGGAGAAAAUUUUUACAAUCUACCCAUCUGACAAAGGGCUGAUAUCCAGAAUCUACAAAGAACUUAAACAAAUUUACAAGAAAAAAUCAAACAACCCCAUCAAAAAGUGGGAGAAGGAUAUGAACAGACACUUCUCAAAAGAAGACAUUUAUGCACUCAACAGACACAUGAAAAAAUGCUCAUCAUCACUGGCCAUCAGAGAAAUGCAAAUCAAAACCACAAUGAGAUACCAUCUCACACCAGUUAGAAUGGUGAUCAUUAAAAAGUCAGGAAACAGCAGAUGCUGGAGAGGAUGUGGAGAAAUAGGAACACUUUUACACUGUUGGUGGGACUGUAAACUAGUUCAACCAUUGUGGAAGUCAGUAUGGCGAUUCCUCAGGGAUCUAGAACUAGAAAUACCAUUUGACCCAGCCAUCCCAUUACUGGGUAUAUACCCAAAGGGUUAUAAAUCAUGCUGCUAUAAAGACACAUGCACACGUAUGUUUAUUGCGUCACUAUUCACAAUAGCAAAGACUUGGAACCAACCCAAAUGUCCAUCAAUGAUAGACUGGAUUUAGAAAAUGUGGCACAUAUACACCAUGGAAUACUAUGCAGCCAUAAAAAAGGAUGAGUUCAUGUCCUUUGUAGGGACAUGGAUGAAGCUAGAAACCAUUAUUCUGAGCAAACUAUCACAAGGACAGAAAACCAAACACCACAUGUUCUCACUCAUAGGUGGGAAUUGAACAAUGAGAACACUUGGACACAGGGUGGGGAACAUCACACACCGGGACCUGUCGUGGGGUUGGGGGAGGGGAGAGGGAUAGCAUUAGGAGAUAUACCUAAGGUAAAUGACGAGUUAAUGGGUGCAGCACACCAACAUGGCACAUGUACACAUAUGUAACAAACCUGCACAUUGUGCACAUGUACCCUAGAACUUAAAGUAUAAUUAAAAAAUAAAAUAAAUUAAAUUAAAAAAUAAAUUUCGGUUUAGUAAAUCAUUUGUCUCUUUAGAAUCAGAUUAUGAGCUGGGAAGUGGCUCACACUGCCACUAGCACUUUGGGAGGCCUAGCAGGAGGCCCUAGCACUUUGGGAGGCCCUAGCACUUUGGGAGGCCAAGGCAGGAGGAUAA
rnacentral:lncRNA from 1 species